rnacentral:ribozyme from 1 species
UGCCCAGCAACUCCUAUCCCUACCUCCACGCGGUACCGGCCGGAAACUAUGAGCAACCUUAGGGAAUAUCGGGUAACCAACCCCGGUGGGAACUUUGGUCGUAGGCUGACAGGGAAGG